GGAGGCAGCAGUAGGGAAUAUUGGGCAAUGGGCGCAAGCCUGACCCAGCGACGCCGCGUGAGGGAUGAAGGUCUUCGGAUUGUAAACCUCUUUCAGUAGGGAAGAAGCGAAAGUGACGGUACCUAAAGAAGAAGCACCGGCUAACUAUGUGCCAGCAGCCGCGGUAAUACAUAGGGUGCAAGCGUUGUCCGGAAUUAUUGGGCGUAAAGAGCUCGUAGGUCGUUUGUCGCGUCGAUUGUGAAAAUCUGAGGCUCAACCUCAGACCUGCAGUCGAUACGGGCAAACUAGAGUGUGGUAGGGGAGACUGGAAUUCCUGGUGUAGCGGUGGAAUGCGCAGAUAUCAGGAGGAACACCAAUGGCGAAGGCAGGUCUCUGGGCCAUAACUGACACUGAGGAGCGAAAGUGCGGGGAGCGAACAGGAUUAGAUACCCUGGUAGUCCGCACCGUAAACGGUGGGCACUAGUUGUGGGAACCUUCCACGGUUUCCGCGACGCAGCAAACGCAUUAAGUGCCCCGCCUGGGGAGUACGAUCGCAAGAUUAAAACUCAAAGGAAUUGACGG
rnacentral:rRNA from 1 species